rnacentral:lncRNA from 1 species
UUUUGUUUUACUUCCACCACAUUGGUUUUUCUGGUUAGAUCUAUAGUCAUAGUUGAAAAAAUCGUGAAUAUCUGGCGAAAUCAUCCGUUUUUUUUGGCAAUUCGGAUCGGUACGAAUCACGGAUCAUGAUCGAAUCACAAACCCCACCAUUCCGACUGAAAUUUUUGAAUAUCCAUAAAAAUCCAAGCAAAUUUUGAAAAUUGACUCGAAUCUCCGGUUCUUUCCUAAAAAGAAACAGUGUUUUCUAAAAUGGUAAAUCUUCAAAAACCAAGAUCUUGUAUAUCUGUAGUAUUUUGGAGAAUAUCUUCUUAAAACUUCGUCGAUUUGC